CGAAGGGGGCUAGCGUUGCUCGGAAUCACUGGGCGUAAAGCGCACGUAGGCGGAUUCCUAAGUCAGGGGUGAAAUCCUGGAGCUCAACUCCAGAACUGCCUUUGAUACUGGGAAUCUUCGAGUCCGGGAGAGGUGAGUGGAACUGCGAGUGUAGAGGUGAAAUUCGUAGAUAUUCGCAAGAACACCAGUGGCGAAGGCGGCUCACUGGCCCGGUACUGACGCUGGGGUGCGAAAGCGUGGGGAGCAAACAGGAUUAGAUACCCUGGUAGUCCACGCUGUAAACGAUGGAUGCUAGCUGUUGGCGGGUUUACUCGUCAGUGGCGCAGCUAACGCAUUAAGCAUCCCGCCUGGGGAGUACGGUCGCAAGAUUA
rnacentral:rRNA from 1 species